rnacentral:SRP_RNA from 1 species
CGGUCCUCCCGCAACGCUAAGCCGCGAACCCCGCCAGGCCCGGAAGGGAGCAACGGUAGUGGUGGAUGCGUGUGCCGGGAUGUGGCUG